AUACGGAUGAAUAUAGGCCCUUCUGUGGAACUGGAAAUUCAAAACAGAUCAGUAACACGCUUAUAUUGCAUCCUUAGAGGUGGUGAGGAAAAACAAUUAAUAUGCAAUACAUGUUCACAUACAAGUUGUUAAACCAUGGAUAAAAUGAUUGAAAAUUCAUUACUAAACAGAUGACAAG